rnacentral:rRNA from 1 species
UACGUAGGGCGCGAGCGUUGUCCGGAAUUAUUGGGCGUAAAGAGCUCGUAGGCGGCUUGUCACGUCGGGUGUGAAAGACCGGGGCUUAACUCCGGUUCUGCAUUCGAUACGGGCUAGCUAGAGUGUGGUAGGGGAGAUCGGAAUUCCUGGUGUAGCGGUGAAAUGCGCAGAUAUCAGGAGGAACACCAAUGGCGAAGGCAGCACUCUGGGACGGUACUGACGCUGAGACGCGAAAGCGUGGGGAGCAAACAGG